GUCAGGCUCCUUAGUCAGGCUCCUUUGAGCCCUCUUCUGAACUCAGACCUUGGCCCCUCUCCUGGCCUCAGCUUCCUUAGCCAGUUCUUAGCAAGAAUCCUGUUAGGUCAGGUUAGAAUAGUCCCCUCCUUUUGGUGUUCCUCAUGGCGAUUUUCCGUCCACUGACGCCCCUCACUCUGUUCCUUGGCUAUAAAUCCCUUCUCGUCCUCUUGCACUCAGGGUUGAGCACCAUUUCUCUGCUCUACUCAACAGUCUUCAAUAAAGUCUUCCUUGCCAUUUUACCCAGCACCAGAAUAAUUUUUUUUCUCUAACUCUGGUAAUUGAGAAGCAGUGCUCAACCGGGGACUGAAAUAGGAACUGAAACAUUGGUCUUUGCCUCAUGAGCACUUUGCUUGACCUACGUAGCACGGGAGGUGAUUUUCCAGGGCAUGAGUUUUCCAACUGUGAACUGCAACCCAUGAGUAUAGUGAAACCAGUUACUAAAUCGCAACCAGCAUUUCAAAAAUGAAAUCAAGCAGAGUUGGCAAACCCCACUGAGCACCGCCUGCGGUGGGGGAGGUGCAGACUCGGGAAAACUUUGUUUCAGUUCGUGUGCCUGUGCACUGGGUCAAGGUGUAAAUAUAUUUCUUACUGUGGAAACUGGUAAAAUCUUCCAGCCAUUGGUUCUAGGAAACGGAUUUGAGCCGUUUGCUUUGUUUUUCUAAGAACAGCACUGCCGGUCGGACUGACACUGUCAUCUCUAUCUUCGUGGGGGAUGGAUUUGGAAAGCCAGGAUAUAUACGAAGAACUUCCUUCCCAUGACGGUGAUGAGUAGAUGGCCAGAGAAGGACACCGAGUCAAUAUCAAACAAAUUAAAAGCAACAGCCAAACUGACCCCCCACAUUUCUGUUUGGAGUGAAACUAAGCCUUUGUGAAUAAUCUGUAUUUUAAAUUAUUAGCUCUUGGGAACCUGAGGAAGGAGUAUCUGAUUCAACUUUCUAUUACCUCUUGCCAAAGCUCCCUGGAAGAGGAAAUUCCUUUCCAACAGAGCUCUCCAGGAGAAGCAGAGAAAGAUCUCCGCUCUGAGAUUAGCUAGGAUUGCUGGGGAGGCAUGUGGUGAAGAUCGUAAUAGCAACAGUAAUGACACACUGUGGGUCUGCUCUCAGGCACAGCGCCAAAUGCUUGACCUGGAUUGUUUCAUUUAAUCUACACAGCAACCACGUGAGAUAGGUGUUUCAGUUGUCUCCAUUUUACAGAUGAAGAAACUGAGGUAGAGUGAGGUUAAACCACUUGUCAAAGUCAGCGCCAGCUUUGAAUCCUGGCAGUCUGAGCUGGAGUCUUGGCUCUGUCCAACUUUGUGAUAUUGUCUCCUCCUGGAAGUUCUUGCUGAUCAGCUGCAAACAGCUCAGAGGUUUCUUUAUAAAAAAGAUAUAAAUAAAGGAAAAUGAAGGUAGUCUUUUUUUUUAACCUUCAAAGAAAGCAGAAAAGUUAGAGACAGAAACAGAAGUAAAAAAAAAAAAAGGAUUUAGAUCAAGCAGUAAGUAUUCAAUAACUCAAGUUUAAAAAGGCACUAGGUCAUAUGUGAGUUUUUGUAUUUCUUUAAAUCUUCCUUUGAAAGACUUGCAAUGUCUCUCCUCUAAUAAUUAGACUUUAAGCAUUUACGACAUUUACGCUAAUAUUUAUAAUUCUUAUAGUGGUUACAUGGUAUCUGGUCUCACUUGCCCUCUCUUUUGUCAGAAUAUCUUGCAAGACCAACCUACACAACCUCACACCUGCCCACAUUUCUCCUAAUGACAAGGACGGGGCUAGGGUUGGAACUCACAGAAAGCCAUCAGAUGAAGGCCAACAUCACCGCCUUGGUGAUUGCCUUCGGUCUGGCCUCUCUCUUGGGCCAUUCUCUUCCUAAUUGUUUUUACUAUAUCUUUAAUGGGCAACAACUUCAUUCAAUUCUCCUAUGUUUGGUGGUCCCAGAUACUAAUGUGACUGCUCUUCAGAUAGCCCCUGUUGGGUUCAGGGGCAAAGAAGAAGGGAAAUGACCUUCUCCAUGACAAGAGUGUUUCAGGGAACGCUGGCGGGAAAUCCUUUAGUCAAAUUGUGGUUCGCCAAAAUGAAGGGGCACUUUUUCUAUCAGCCGCUUUGUUUCGGCAGCCAGGAUAGGACAACUCUGUCCUGUUGUUUAUUAGUCACACGUCCUAUAUAACAAGACAUGACACAGGUUUGGGUGUUUUUUCUUCUUCUUUUUUUUAAUGAUGAAGGAGAAGAGUAAAAGAAAAGGUAAUUAAAGGGGCAGGACUAGAGCCUUCAAGCAGAAUUUCCCACCCCUAAUGUAAAGGAAGUUUUUCUAGACCUGAACUUUUAAACAAGAGAAUGAUGCUGUCGUCCCUCAGUAUCAGAAACAAUAUUAUUCAAACUGAAGACUUCAGAGGGGAGGGGUGGGGGAAUGGGAUAGACUGGUGAUGGGUAGUAAGGAGGGCACGUAUUGCAUGGUGCACUGGGUGUUAUA